AAACUGGCUGCAGUUGCUUCUCGUAAGGAACACAUAAAUCUGGAGCAAUGGCUGAACAAAAAUCUGAGCACAUACAAGGAUACUUUUUUUGAGGAUUGCCUCAAGUUCUUAAAAGAAAUACCUUCUGCAGCAACAAAUGAUGCAUCUGCCAAUCCUUUCCAACAUUCCAGCUCUGUCAUGAAUCUUUAUCUAGAGACAAGUUCUGCUCUUUUGAAGGUCCUUCAAGCCCAUUCUGGCCAGCUCAUCUCCCACCAACUUUCUAAGGAAUUGAGAAGAUUGCAGGCAUCAUCUGUGCAUGCUAAUCCAAGAUUGCAAAAUUGUGGAGCACAUUGCGAACCUUGCUGGGAACAAAACUCUAGUUUUGCCUAUGCCUGCAUUUAACGUCAUCAAUGGAGGAUCACAUGGUUUCACUGUCAACCUGAAUUUUACGAACCUUGUUGGGAACAGAACUCGGACAUAUUUCCAAGGGUGUAAAACCCAAAGGCAGGGGAGCUUCAAAGAAGGCUCCUGCUAGAAAGCAGAAAAUGCCAACUGUCGUUGAUAGUGAAGAGGAAGAUGAUAAGGAGCUUGAGCUGAAAGAACAACUGGCAGCGUAUAACAUUGAUUCUCCUUCAGAUCAAACAGGUAUAUGAUCAUCCAUGUGCAGUAAGCUUUCGGAUCAAAGCAAAGCUAAGAAUAGGGUGUUAGUUGAUUGCAAAUUGAUAACCAGUAGAUGCACAUCCAUGGAGUUUUUGCUUGCGCUUGUUGAGAAGCUAUUUGGCUGCGAGAAGGCAUUGGAUCUUGUUGUUAAUGAGAACUUUAAAUAGACAUAUAACUAUUAU